UCCGCCAAGACCUCCGCGGGCCUGCCCCUCGCCCGCCGCUCCGUGGUCCGGUUCCGCGUGUCCGCCUCCGCCGCGACCCCCGCCGCGCCGCCCAAGGCCUCGGGCCCCAAGAAGCGGGGCAAGACGGAGAUCCAGGAGACGCUGCUCACGCCGCGGUUCUACACCACCGACUUCGACGAGAUGGAGCGCCUCUUCAACGCCGAGAUCAACAAGCAGCUCAACCAGGCGGAGUUCGACGCGCUGCUGCAGGAGUUCAAGACGGACUACAACCAGACCCACUUCGUGCGCAACCCCGAGUUCAAGGCCGCCGCAGACAAGAUGGACGGCCCGCUCCGCCAGAUCUUCGUCGAGUUCCUCGAGCGCUCCUGCACCGCCGAGUUCUCGGGGUUCCUCCUCUACAAGGAGCUCGGCCGCAGGCUCAAGGUCCGUCUCGUUCCUGCUUCCUCUGCUUUGCGCUCAUUUCUGGGUGGACAUUUCCACGAGCAUCUGGUGGGCGCGCACUGACGUUCCGUUUCUCUGCAGAAAACCAACCCGGUGGUGGCCGAGAUCUUCUCGCUCAUGUCCAGGGACGAAGCGCGCCAUGCUGGGUACGUAUCUUAUCCGCUUUCAUCGUACAAUGCGCGCAAUCAGGAGCCAAAUAAUGCAUUCUUGCAUGAUUAGGAAGUAGAAUUGCCUGCCUUUCUCAUGAAAACUUAUGCUUUUUAGCGAGACUGUCGAUGCCCCUACCUCAGUUUGAUAAGUAAUGUACUGAUUCUAAGUUUGCAGACAUAACUAAGUUUACAUGCGCAUAAAAAAAAAUACUCAUGUUCAAUGAUGUAGUCAGCAACUUGCCCCUGUUCUGUCAGUAGUAGUUAGGCCAAUGCAUUGUGGGUUGCUUCCAGCAACUGUUGAUAAGCGUUCUGUAAAAAUUCAGCCGUGCAUGUUGUCCUUUUGGUGUCCAAUUUGAGGUUUUAGGAGUACUGACGAGCGCAUAAGAAAUUCAGCUGAAAUUUUCUUGUGGUUUGCGCUUUCUAGGUUCUUGAACAAGGGUCUAUCUGACUUCAACUUGGCACUGGACCUGGGGUUCCUGACCAAGGCUAGGAAAUACACCUUCUUCAAGCCCAAGUUCAUCUUCUACGCCACCUACCUGUCCGAGAAGAUUGGGUACUGGAGGUACAUCACCAUCUUCAGGCACCUCAAGGCGAACCCAGAGUACCAGGUGUACCCCAUCUUCAAGUACUUCGAGAACUGGUGCCAGGAUGAGAACAGGCACGGUGACUUCUUCUCUGCCCUGCUAAAGGCUCAGCCGCAGUUCCUCAAUGACUGGAAGGCCAAGCUCUGGUCACGGUUCUUCUGCCUCUCGGUAAUUUC
rnacentral:lncRNA from 1 species